UCGCAUGAAGCCGGAAUUGCUAGUAAUGGCAGGUCAGCAUACUGCCGUGAAUACGUUCCCGGGCCUUGUACACACCGCCCGUCACACCAUGAGAGUUGGGAAUACCCGAAGCCUGUGAGCUAACUAUUUAUAGAGGCAGCAGUCGAAGGUAGAAUCAAUGAUUGGGGUGAAGUCGUAACAAGGUACC
rnacentral:rRNA from 1 species